UAUUGAAGUUUAUUAAGUUUAUCAUCUUUUACAAUAAGAGCACACCUAGAGGAAUAUUUUUUCAUCCUAAAUUUUUCUAAUACUCUAAAGAUGUAAGUCCUUUGAGAUAUUCUAAGCGACUCUAAGAAUCUAUCUUUAUAAAUCUCAAUACCGACAAUAUAAGCAGCUUCACUCAUAUCUUUCAUGUGAGACGUAGUUUGUUUGAGCCUAGUCCAAAACCCCACCCA
rnacentral:lncRNA from 1 species